rnacentral:rRNA from 1 species
CCGGAUCUCAGAUCAAGCAAGAGGACCCGCCGAAUUUAAGCAUAUAAUUAAGCGGAGGAAAAGAAACUAACUAGGAUUCCCUCAGUAACGGCGAGUGAAGCGGGACUAGCUCAGGAUGUGAAUCUGCGCUUUUAUGGCGCCGAAUUGUGGUCUGUAGACUUUGACAUUAUCUGCCGGGCCAAGUUCCUUGGAAAAGGACAGCUGAGAGGGUGAGACUCCCGUCCGCCUGGUGGAGUGAGUCAUUUGUCAACGAGUCGAGUUGUUUGGGAUUGCAGCUCUAAUUUGGUGGUAAAUUCCAUCUAAAGCUAAAUAUUGGUGGGAGACCGAUAGCGUACAAGUACCGUGAGGGAAAGAUGCAAAGAACUUUGAAAAGAGAGUUAAAGAGUACCUGAAACUGCUGAAACGGAAGCGAAGGAAACCAGUGUUUGUUGGUUCAUAUUUCCCCGGCCACUUGUGGCUUGGGCGCUGUGAGCUUUCGUGAGUUUGGGUUGGUUGAUCCCUUUGGAAGAGCGCAGUCAGAGUUGAUGUCUGUUGCUAGCACUGGGUUUGACUGACGCAGACGAAA